AUGAACCCCUGCAUUCCCAGCGGAGCAUGGGAUGAGAUUCCCUGGCCAGAAUUGAGGAAAAACGGGAUUUUCCCAGGAUUUUUAUCCCUGGGGUUCCUCCAGGCUGCCUGCCCUGAUCCCAAAUCCCGGAAUUCCAGGGAAAACAGGGAUUGGUCAUGGAAUUCCGGGCUUUCCAUCCCGAUUUUUGGGUUAUUCUGGGAGCAGGGAGGGAAAUCCCAAGGCCCGCCCCUCCCUCAUUCCCAUUCCAGGGGAUUUCUGGGAAUAAUCCCCCAAAAUUCCCUUCCCGCUCCUGGAUGGGACCAGGGAGAAUCUGGGAAUUUUGGGAUUGGGAUUCCCUGGGCUUGGGGAGGAUCCGGAGGAUUUUCCAUGGAAUUCUGUUCCCAGGGUCGGGCAGGGAACGGGGAAUUUCAUCCCGGAGGAUCCCCCGGAUCCCAAAUUCCUCCGGAAUGUGGCGGAGCUGGGGCGGGAAAGGGGGGGAAAAAAGCGGGAAAAGCUUGGGAAAAUCCACCCUCAUCCCAAAAAAAAGGGCGGGAAUCCGGGUUUGGGGUGGGAUUUUGGGAUGAGCUCCACAAAAAGUGGGGGGGAAAAUGGGAAUUUUUGGGGACGGGAUGGAUGGAAUCCUGCCCGGAGCUCCCCGUUCCCUGCGGGAUUCAUCCCAAAUCCCCAAAAAUCCCCUGGAUUGGGAAAAUUCCCUGGAAAACCCCCGGGAUUCCGUGGGAAAGGGGAUUUCUGUGGAGGAAAAUUCCCAAAAAAAUCCGUUUGGAGGGAAAAUUCCAGCCUGGGAAUUCCCUGCUGCGGCUCCCGCUGGGCUUUGGGAAGAACCUCGGGAAACCGGGAAUUUGGAGGCUGGAACUCUGGGACGAGGAUCCCAAAUCUUCCCUCUUUGGCCUCCUUCCCUCCCCUUUCUUUCCCUGGGAAUUCCGGGAUUUUUCCUUUGGGAAUUCGGGGCUGGGAGUUGUCUUCGCCUGGAACUGGGGGGGGAAUCUGGGAAUUCCCAUCCCGGAUUUCCUGGGAUCGAAGCGUUCGGGGUUUUCCAGGGGGAAAUUCGGGAUCGCCCGGGGAACUGCAGGAAUUUGGGGAAGUUUUCCCGGAUUUUUCCGGCUCCGGAAUUCUGGGCUCGGAUUUGGAGCCGCAGCCCCGCCCAAGAGGGCAAUUAAGGGUUAA
rnacentral:lncRNA from 1 species